rnacentral:rRNA from 1 species
GUGGGGAAUAUUGGGCAAUGGGGGAAACCCUGACCCAGCAACGCCGCGUGAAGGAAGACGGUUUUCGGAUUGUAAACUUCUUUUAUCGGGGACGAAAAAAAUGACGGUACCCGAAGAAAAAGCCACGGCUAACUACGUGCCAGCAGCCGCGGUAAUACGUAGGUGGCAAGCGUUUUCCGGAUUUACUGGGGGUAAAGGGCGUGUAGGCGGGACUGCAAGUCAGAUGUGAAAUACCAAGGCUUAACCUUGGGGGUGCAUUUGAAACUGUAGUUCUUGAGUGAUGGAGAGGCAGGCGGAAUUCCUAGUGUAGCGGUGAAAUGCGUAGAUAUUAGGAGGAACACCAGUGGCGAAGGCGGCCUGCUGGACAUUAACUGACGCUGAGGCGCGAAAGCGUGGGGAGCAAACAGGAUUAGAAACCCUUGUAGUCC